rnacentral:rRNA from 1 species
UACGGAGGGUGCAAGCGUUAAUCGGAAUUACUGGGCGUAAAGCGUGCGUAGGUGGUUUGUUAAGUCUGAUGUGAAAGCCCUGGGCUCAACCUGGGAAUGGCAUUGGAAACUGGCGGACUGGAGUGCGGUAGAGGGUAGCGGAAUUCCCGGUGUAGCAGUGAAAUGCGUAGAGAUCGGGAGGAACAUCCGUGGCGAAGGCGGCUACCUGGACCAGCACUGACACUGAGGCACGAAAGCGUGGGGAGCAAACAGG